rnacentral:rRNA from 1 species
UCGAGCGGUAACAGGUCCAGCUUGCUGGAUGCUGACGAGCGGCGGACGGGUGAGUAAUGCAUAGGAAUCUGCCCGGUAGUGGGGGAUAACCUGGGGAAACCCAGGCUAAUACCGCAUACGCCCUACGGGGGAAAGCAGGGGCUCUUCGGACCUUGCGCUAUCGGAUGAGCCUAUGUCGGAUUAGCUAGUUGGUAGGGUAAAGGCCUACCAAGGCGACGAUCCGUAGCUGGUCUGAGAGGAUGAUCAGCCACAUCGGGACUGAGACACGGCCCGAACUCCUACGGGAGGCAGCAGUGGGGAAUAUUGGACAAUGGGGGCAACCCUGAUCCAGCCAUGCCGCGUGUGUGAAGAAGGCCUUCGGGUUGUAAAGCACUUUCAGCGAGGAAGAAGGCCUGGUGGCCAAUACCCACCAGGAAGGACAUCACUCGCAGAAGAAGCACCGGCUAACUCCGUGCCAGCAGCCGCGGUAAUACGGAGGGUGCGAGCGUUAAUCGGAAUUACUGGGCGUAAAGCGCGCGUAGGUGGCUUGAUAAGCCGGUUGUGAAAGCCCUGGGCUCAACCUGGGAACGGCAUCCGGAACUGUCAGGCUAGAGUGCAGGAGAGGAAGGUAGAAUUCCCGGUGUAGCGGUGAAAUGCGUAGAGAUCGGGAGGAAUACCAGUGGCGAAGGCGGCCUUCUGGACUGACACUGACACUGA